rnacentral:tRNA from 1 species
GGGGGUAUAGCUCAGGGGUAGAGCAUUUGACUGCAGAUCAAAAUAUCCCUGGUUCGAAUCGGGUUACCCCUU